rnacentral:rRNA from 1 species
UGGGGAAUCUUGGACAAUGGGGGCAACCCUGAUCCAGCCAUGCCGCGUGAGCGAUGAAGGCCUUAGGGUUGUAAAGCUCUUUCAGCGGGGAAGAUAAUGACGGUACCCGCAGAAGAAGCCCCGGCUAACUCCGUGCCAGCAGCCGCGGUAAUACGGAGGGGGCUAGCGUUGUUCGGAAUUACUGGGCGUAAAGCGCACGUAGGCGGAUUGGGAAGUUGGGGGUGAAAUCCCGGGGCUCAACCCCGGAACUGCCUCCAAAACUCCCAGUCUGGAGUCCGAGAGAGGUGAGUGGAAUUCCGAGUGUAGAGGUGAAAUUCGUAGAUAUUCGGAGGAACACCAGUGGCGAAGGCGGCUCACUGGCUCGGUACUGACGCUGAGGUGCGAAGCGUGGGGAGCAAACAGGAUUAGAUACCCUGGUAGUCCACGCCGUAAACGAUGAGAGCUAGACGUCGGGCGGCGUUGCCGUUCGGUGUCGCGGUUAACGCAUUAAGCUCUCCGCCUGGGGAGUACGGCCGCAGGUU